UGUAUGACAAUAGUAAUUAGCAUAAAUUUUAUUUAAUUUGAAAGACAUUCUCAAAAUAUUUGGAACAUAGAAGCCUAUAUCUAUAAUAUAACUAACUAUGAUAAUAUAACAACCAUUUGUAGUCGUUUUAUUCUCAGGUCCCUACGGACUACAUAAAGCCCUCAUCCUCAUUUUAAGGGAUGUCACUCUCUGUAAAUAAUAAAAUAAUAUAAACAAAAGAAUAUUUAAAUAUAAUGCCUCAUAUCUAAGGUUUUAUAUUUAGGUUUGCAACCACAAAAGUCACCACAACAUGAUUUUGUAGGUCUUAGGAGUCUUUGUGAUCACAUUGGUCAUAUUUUCCCAUUGAAAUCCACAAUAUUAAAUUGUUGAAUAUCUUCGUAAUUGGUACUGCAACCACAAUUUAAAAGAUUGAUUUUGCAGCUGUACAAGUAGGAGCUUUCCCUAAAAUUUUAGGACUGACAUUAGCGCAUACGGCAAUUGCGGGAGCUCCAUUGUAUGUGAGGUUAAUUUCACUAAGUUCCACACCUUGACAUGGUACACUUUUGCUGCAUAGAAGUAUCACCCCUUCCUUAGUUGCUGAAGUGCCCUUGAUGUUUUUAAAGAAGACCUUGCUUAUCUGAAUUUUGGAUGGGCUCUAAAGCAUUACAAGCAUACACAAAUUAGAAGAUUAUAACAUGUAUGUCAUUAGAGGAUUAAAGAGAUCAUAAAGUUUAAUGAAAGGAAUGGAUGAAGUUAUAUCUAAGUUUAUUGAAAUGAAUUAGAUACCUUUUUAGAGCACUCAUUCCAAGGACAAUAUUCUUGGUCUAUAAUGAUUGGGUUGGAAACGUUAACCAUGGUAAUAUCUUCAAAACGCAUAUUAGUGACAGUAAUUGAUACAGGGGAACUAGGCCAACUCUUGAUUCUCACACCAUUAUCUGCAUUUUUUAUAGUGACAUUCUUUACUAGAAAAUCAUCAAGGGGGUCUUCAUUAUCAUACAUCCCAAGGCUUCCAACACUGAUGCCAUGUCCCGGUCCACAUUCAACAUUUUUGACAACUAGACGAGUGUUGCCAUCACCUAACGACACACAAUCAUCUCCGGUAGCAAUUUUGGUGUUAAGAACUUUCACAUCAUUUGAUCUACCAAUGUGGAUCCCAUCAGUGUUGACGCUAUCAUGAGGAGCACUCACCUUGAACCCAUCAAAUGUAAAGUUAUUGCAUGACAAAACAUUGACAUGGAAGUAUUUACUGUCCUUGGAAGUUAUGUCCCGAACGAUGGAAUGAUUUAGGAAAUUAAAACCAAGAUUCUGCACACAAGAAAUUUAAUUCAUUAAAAGUUCUAUUUGGCAACUAUGGAUGUGGGUAUGUUAAAUAAGUAAUUUACCAUUGAACGGCUCGCACAAUUCUUGUUAGAUCCACAACUAUUUUGUUUCCAAGCAAUUGCACCUUGACCAUCAAAAAUACCCUGACCUGAUAAGGUGAAAUGGGAAACAUAUCCAAUAGUAACCCAUUGCUCAGCCCCCUUAAGUUGACUGGGGUCUGCUGGUGCUUNNNNNNNNNNNNNNNNNNNNNNNNNNNNNNNNNNNNNNNNNNNNNNNNNNNNNNNNNNNNNNNNNNNNNNNNNNNNNNNNNNNNNNNNNNNNNNNNNNNNGUUAAAACAUUGAAUUGAUUGCAAAUAAAACAUCUAGAUUGAUUUUGCAGCUGUACAAGUAGGAAUUUUCUCUGAAACUUUAGGGUUGACAUUAGCGCAUACAGCAAUUGCUAGAGCUCCGUUGUAUGUGAGGUUAAUUUCACUGAGCUCCACGCCUUGACAUGGUACACUUCUACUACAUAGAAGUAUCACCCCUUCCUUAGUUGUUGAAGUUCCCUUGAUGUUUUUAAAGGAGACCUUGGUUAUCUUAACUUUGUGAGUCAUUUGGAAGCUUUGGGAUUUGUUGUUUCCCUUGUUACCACCGAGUGGUUCUGUUGGAAUUUGUCGAAAGAAUGGUGUUUUGAAGUUAAAAGAAAAAACUCAUNNNNNNNNNNNNNNNNNNNNNNNNNNNNNNNNNNNNNNNNNNNNNNNNNNNNNNNNNNNNNNNNNNNNNNNNNNNNNNNNNNNNNNNNNNNNNNNNNNNNUGGGCUUGGAUCGUGUGUUGACCAAGUCCACACACACAUGCAAUAAGGAAAGAGUCGUUGGAGGAGAUCUCGGCCAUUAUAAUAGAGUCGUUGGUGAAAGUGUCAUUGGAGGCCUCAGGCUAUAAAUAGAGGCCUCCUUCCCUGAUUAUAAUUCGCAACAAGUUCAAGGAGUUUACCUCUCAACUUCUCUUUCUCUCCCUCCCCCUUAUAUUCCGCUGACACAUUUCUAAUAACCUUCUCCCUCUUUCUUUCCAUGGCGUUUGUAGAUAAUAUUAUUGGACCGGACAGCUAUGAUCUAAACAAGCCAUUUCAGUUUGACGAGACAUGUUUCAAAUGUUGGCAAUAUAAGAUGCAAUNNNNNNNNNNNNNNNNNNNNNNNNNNNNNNNNNNNNNNNNNNNNNNNNNNNNNNNNNNNNNNNNNNNNNNNNNNNNNNNNNNNNNNNNNNNNNNNNNNNNUGACUAUUGAAAUAGCUUUCUGGAAUGAAAGUGAUUACUUAUGUAAGAACUUCAUUCUGAAUGGGUUGUCUGAUGACCUCUAUGAUUACUGCAGCCUAUACAGGUCUGCCAAAUUAAGUUGGUAUGCACUAUGAUACAAGGAAGCUGCCACUAAAAAGUAUGAUGUUAGCCGCUACCUCAAGUAUCAGAUGACUGAUGAUAAAUCAGUAGAGUCUCAGUGCCAAGAGAUACAGAAAAUUGCUCAUGAUAUCAUUUCUGAGGGUAUGUCCCUAGAUCAGCAAUUCCGAGUGGCUGUCAAAAUUGACAAACUGCCUCCUAUAUGGAAGGACUUCGAAAACCUUCUGAGACAUAAGACCAAAGAAAUCUCUUUAGAAUCUCUNNNNNNNNNNNNNNNNNNNNNNNNNNNNNNNNNNNNNNNNNNNNNNNNNNNNNNNNNNNNNNNNNNNNNNNNNNNNNNNNNNNNNNNNNNNNNNNNNNNNAUCUCUGAUCACUCGUCUUCAUAUUGAAGAAGAGGCUGGUAAGCAAGAUCAUAGAGAAGAGGUGUUGAUUGUAUCCAACAAUAGCACUAAGAAGAAUUUUUCAAGUGUGAUUCUGAAGCCUUCUGACACUAAUUUCAAGAAUCAGAACCACAAUGGGAAUAAGGCUAAGAACAUCAGCCGCAACAAGAAUUGGAACCCUCAAAAGGUAUAAUAUGCUAAGCCACCUACUAAGAAUGACUCUGGAAACAUGUUCAUCUGCUUCAAGUGUGGCAAACCAGAUCAAGUAAGACUAAGAUGGCAACUAAGAUGGGGUGAAUUAGGUGUUUAAAAACUAUGACAAAUAUUUAUGCAAAAUUCAAGAGUUAAUAGCAACGGAAAAGUUAUGCAUAAAAUAUCAAGUAAAUUUAAGGAUUUAAGGGAUAAGAGAGUACUCAGAGAUUUUAUACGGGUUCACAUUCUUGUCCACCGAAGGCUACGUCCAGUACUCUUGCAGUACAAGAGAUUUCUUCACUAGAUAUUAAGAGUAGCAAUUACAAAUUCUCACCCAAAGAUUUCCUUUUACCUUACUCACUCUCUAAUACCUAUAUCACUCUUUGGAAAACAACCUUCCCAUGUGACUUUAUCCUCUUUCUUAUCACACCCUUGUGAAAGAAAGUAAUUCAACAAAUUGAAUGAAGAAAACUUUAACUAUGGCAAAAAUUGCCUUUAUAAGAUUUGAAACUAUGACCACUUACAAUCCAAUAACUCCUUAUACACUUUAGUACUAAUGCUCAGAAGGUUUGAAUGACUUUGAAACAACACUUAAGACAACUUCAGAAAAUAUAAUCUGAAAGUUAAGAAUAAGUUCCAAAAAGUGCAGAACAAGUAUUUGAGAAAGUUUAGACCGUGUAUGUCAAGUCAAAACAUAAUAGAAUGAGUGCCACUCUUUUCUCUUUGUGGAACUAAAAUCAAAUAUAUAUUUGGCUCAUCUCAUAGCUUACUUUUCAUUUUUGUAUGAUAAGUGCGAGGGCAAAAUAUUAUGACACUACAUUAAUCAUAAAUUUAUUUAUGUUUGAUGACCAUGUAUCCAAAAAUUUAUUUAUGUCAUAAAUUUAUUUAUGACACUAUAUAAAAAUUCUUAUGACCAUGUAUCCAAAACACAUACUUUGACCAGUUUUCGUACAAAGCUUGAUUUUAUGACUAGUACUGUAGUAUACACUUUGUGGAAGAGAACAAGAAGGCUGCAUGACAAUACAAUCAGCAUAACGAUAAAUUUUAUUUAAUUUGAAAGACAGUCUCAAAACAUUUGAAACAUAGAAGCCUAUAUCUAAAAUACAGCUAACUAUGAUAGUAUAACAACCAUUUCUAGUCGUUUUAUUCUCAGGUCCCUACGGACUAUAAAAAGCCCUCAUCCUCAUUUUAAGGGAUGUCACUCUCUAUAAAUAAUAAAAUAAUAUAAACAAAAGAAUAUUUAAAUAUAAUGCAUCAUAUCCAAGGUUUUAAAUUUCGGUUUGCNCAAUCAGCAUAACGAUAAAUUUUAUUUAAUUUGAAAGACAGUCUUAAAACAUUUGAAACAUAGAAGCCUAUAUCUAAAAUACAACUAACUAUGAUAGUAUAACAACCAGUUCUAGUCGUUUUAUUCUCAGGUCCCUAUGGACUAUAAAAAGCCCUCAUCCUCAUUUUAAGGGAUAUCACUCUCUAUAAUUAAUAAAAUAAUAUAAACAAAAGAAUAUUUAAAUAUAAUGCAUCACAUCCAAGGUUUUAAAUUCCGGUUUGCAACCACAAAAGUCGCCAUAACAUGAUUUCGUAGGUCUUAGGAGUCUUUGUGAUCACAUUGGUCAUAUGUUUCCAUAGUAAUCCACAAUUUUAAAAUGUUGAAUAUCCCCGCAAUUGGUACUGCGACCAUAAUUUAAAAGAUUGAUUUUGCAGCUGUACAAGUAGGAGCUUUCCCUGAAAUUUUAGGGCUAACAUUAGCGCAUACGGCAACCGUGGGAGCUCCCUUGUAUGUGAGGUUAAUAUCACUAAGCUCCACGCCUUGACAUGGUACACUCUUGCUGCAUAGAAGUAUCACCCCUUCCUUAGUUGCUGAAGUGCCCUUGAUGUUUUUAAAGUAGACCUUGCUUAUCUUAACUUUGGAUGGGCUCUAAAGCAUUACAAGCAUACACAAAUCAGAAGAUUAUAACAUGUAUGUCCUUAUAGGAUUAAAGAAAACAUAAAGUUUAAUGAAAGGAAUGGAUGAAGCUAUAUCUAAGUUUAGUAAAAUGAAUUUGAUACCUUUUUUGAGCACUCAUUCCAAGGACAAUAUUCUUGGUCUAUAAUGAUUGGAUUGGCUACAUUAACCAUGGUAAUAUCUUCAAAACGCAUAUUAGUGACAGUAAUUGAUACAGGGGUGCUAGGCCAGCUCUUGAUUCUCACACCAUUAUCUGCAUUUUUUAUAGUGACAUUCUUUACUAGAAAAUCAUCAAUAUUGUCUUCAUUAUCAUAUAACCCAAGGCUUCCAACACUGAUGCCAUGUCCUGGUCCACAUUCGACAUUUUUGACAACUAGACGAGUGUUGCCAUCACCUAAUGACACACAAUCAUCUCCGGUAGCAAUUUUGGUGUUAAGAACUUUNACAUAAAGUUUAAUGAAAGGAAUGGAUGAAGCUAUAUCUAAGUUUAGUAAAAUGAAUUAGAUACCUUUUUUGAGCACUCAUUCCAAGGACAAUAUUCUUGGUCUAUNNNNNNNNNNNNNNNNNNNNNNNNNNNNNNNNNNNNNNNNNNNNNNNNNNNNNNNNNNNNNNNNNNNNNNNNNNNNNNNNNNNNNNNNNNNNNNNNNNNNGUCCCCUUAGGAAUCACAAUUUUGACGUUACUUGUUGCUGCACAUGCUUCUUUCCAAGCAUUUAUGAAAGCCUUGAAAAACCAUACAUACAAAUUAGUUAAAAAGUAAGUAAAUACAAUAANGUCCCCUUAGGAAUCACAAUUUUGACGUUACUUGUUGCUGCACAUGCUUCUUUCCAAGCAUUUAUGAAAGCCUUGGAAGACCAUACAUACAAAUUAGUUAAAAAAUAAGUAAAUACAAUAAUAAUAAUCGAUAAAAAUUCAGCUUAGUUACUUGUGUUAUAUCUCCAUUUUGUGCUCCAAAUUUUUUUAUAUCAAUGGUAACUGAUUGAGCUUUGUAGAUCGCAGCCAACAACAAGAUGAAUGAAAACAAUGUUACGAUACUAAACUUCAAAGCCAUGUUGAUUAUUGAUAAACUUUGUCUUGUUGUACUUUUUGUGUGGAUGGAUGUGUUUAUUUUGAAAGCAGAGUGAAACACUAUUUAUAAUGGAGUUGUGAUGCUUCAAAACCAUUAACAACAUGAGAAACUUAAGUGUGUCCGUGGAUGGAAUUGACUGAGCCCAUUAUCUAUUGUUAGCAAUUAUAUUAUUAUCACUCAUAUUUAACCAAGAUAUACUAUAAUAAGCUUUAAGAUUAUAUGUUAAACAAUCGUGUUUCUGACAUCAAACAUUAAUCUUGUGUGGUUAAGAAAAGGCUACAUACUACAAUUGACCACUGAAAUAAUACUUAUUGAAUAGAUAUAUCAUAGAUAAUGAAAGAGAAGAGAAAGAGAAGGUGGUGAGGGUACUAAUUCACAUUUUAUUUUAUAAAACAUUUUUUAAUUAUUAUCAUUAUUACUAAUUCAUAUCCCAUCUUUAUUGGAAUUGAAAUAACUAUAUAUCUUCUUAGUCAAGUGAAGACACAACUAACUUCCUAUUUCCCAUUGACCCUUUGGGUUGAGAUAAAAUUCAAUUCAUUUUUUGGGUCUCUCCAAAUCACUACAUUUAUUUUUUCUUUUCAUAAACAUGUAUGUAUACAUAUAUCUGCUCCUUCAACUUGUGUAGACAUUCAUAAUGAAGCAUUACACUCAUCUCAUGACAAGAUUCAAAAUCUCUCUUUCUGUCUCUUUUUAUAUAUCUCUAUCUCACCAUGCAUGCAUAUUCUCUAUCUCUUCCUUAUUCUCCUACUUUCCCUUGUUACGUUCCAAUGUUGCAUUCUCAAUGCACCACGAAAACCUUCCAACACAUGAAGCCUCCAUAUCAAAGACCUACCUCCCUAAUGAUUCCACCGCCUCAGAGAUAGUAAGUAUUCUUCUGGUGGGUUGGGUUGGAUGGGGACAUCAACCAUACUUCAUCGAACAUUGAAGCAUUAGGCCUUGCAUGAGUUUACCCAUAUUCAGUGAUGCAACUUAUUACCUUCGCUCUUGGAACUCUGGGGUUUGACAUUGGAAUAAUUCACCAUGGCUAAUUAACCUUGUGUUUUGAUUUGGACCUCUUCAAACUAUGGUAUUCUUCUUUAGACCAAAAAUGACCACUUUGUAGGCUACUCCAAUGUGGUGCUUGGGUUUGUGAAUUUCUUUUAAGGGUUCCAAGUGAUGGGGCAAUGCUAAGUUAAGUUAUUGUUUUAAUAUUAUUCCACUGUUUUUCUUGUCUAUUCUUGUUUCUAAUGCUGGUGUGACUUGAUCACCCAAUACAUGGUUUAAGGUUUGAAUAUGUGUGAUGAACAUUUCAUGUUUAAACUAGACAUAGAGUAUGUCAUCUUGAAACAUGUUAAUUCUAGGAAUUUAAUUAAUUAAACUAUCCUUUAAUCUAUAUAAAUCGAUUUAAACUACAUUUGAAUUUAUCCAAUCCAUCCAUAUCCAAUUGAUUCCAAUCCAUCCAAUUUAUCCAUGACUCCCUUUUCAUGGAUUUGGAUGGAUGAAUAUCCAAUCCAUUUGAUUUUUUUAGUGGAACAAAAAAAAUCUAUUGAAGAAAAUUAUUAUUUUAAAAACAGUUAUUUCAACUAAACAUUUUUUAAAAUCACAUUCUAAAAAACACUUCUAAAAUCAUUUAGAAAUCCAUUUUUUAAAAGUGAUUUUUUGAACUUUUAUAGAGAUAUAUUUUUUUCAAAAUUCUAUGAGCAUGUGCUGUUUAAGGUUCUACAUGUAAGAUAUUUAAAAAAUAUUUUUAGAGUGUAAUAGCUAUGCACUGUCAGUGUAAAGAUUUAUACAUAAUCACUAUAUGAUGCAAUGAGAGUGUAUAAAACUCAUACAUUGGUCAGUAUAUACAUUUUUAUCAUACAUCUAUAUGGUAUGUGCUUGAGAAUAAAAUUUUAAUAUUAACUAGAUACACAUUUCCUACAAUUGAUAUCAAUUUAAUAAAAUAUUAAAAGUGAGAGUGAGAAUCAUAAAUAGAUUUGCUUGAAUUUAGUUUUAUUAAAUAUUAAAUGAAAGUGAAAAUGCAAAGAAAAUAAUUGUUUUAUUUUUGGAUGGAUUGGAUAUCCAACCAAAUGGAUAUAUCCAUGGAUAUCCAUCAGAUAUAAUGAAUGAAUUUGAAUUCAUCUAUUAUCAACACUAUCCAUUAGAUUAUAUUCAUUUAAAUCUAUUAGCUGUGGAUGAAUUUGGAUAGAUUUAAUUUGGAUGAAUUGUGGAUUGUAGAUAAUUUUGCCACCUCUAAAAUUCAACCAUCUAUAAUUUUCUUCAUGUUUUGUUAAGUGCAAAAAUUAACUUAGAGAAUAAAAAUAAUUGAACACUUUUUGACCCUAAAAUUUUAUAUAAAUGUCAUUCAUACUAUGCUUUGAGUUAAAAAGUGGUCAAAUUCUAUGAUAUCAUUUUGUAUGUCAUUCAAGAUAUACUAACUAAAAAGAGGAUAAAUGUGGAAGCAUAAUAUAAUUCUAAAGAGAAUCUUCAGAGAUAUAUCACCUAAAAAGAUGAUAAAUACGGACACAGAAGAAAAAUCUAAUCAGAAUCUUUGAAGAUAUACUAUAAUGAAAUUAGGAUAAACAUGGAACUAGGAGUUGUAAUCACAACAAAACCGUAGGAUUGAAACGCCAACCAACUAUUCACAACCUUGCUUAGAAGAAGAAUAUCAACCACACUCAAGGCUAUAGUUUCCAUGGGAAUAAGGAGCUAAACCCAUUUUUUGUGUAGGACAAGAUGUAACUAUUUAAACCCGAUGUAUCUAAUAUGACUUUAUGUUUUAAUAUUAUUACACUGUUUUUCUUGUCUACUCUUUUUUCUAAUGCUUGUCUGGCUUGAUCACCCAAUGUAUGGUUUAAGGUUUGAAUAUGUUUGAUGAAAAUUUCAUGUUUAAACUAGACAUAUAGUAUAUAUGUCAUCUUGUAACAUGUUAAUUUUAGGAAUCUAAUUAAUUAAACUAGUCAUUAUAACACACAAUUUAUUAUGAUUGAUUUGUGAAGUAACUGAAAAUUGAUUAAUUCAAUUAUUGAUUUGUUUAAGCAAGAAAUUGGUAAAUAAAUAAGAAUAGCUGAGAAGUAAUUCAUAUGAACAAUUAUCUUUAUUAUGUCAUUAUAUAUUGGAUAAAAGACAUUUAUUAGUGAAGUCUAAUAUUUUGUUCUUCAUCGUUCAAUUUAAACUCGUCAACUUUUAUUCUUGCUUUAAUUUUAGUUUUGUUAAUUAAAUCUUCCAAACAAAACCCUUAUUCACCCCAUUUAAGUAGGUUUGCUAAACAAUUUAAUAUUAAGCAAGCUAUCAUGGAUAAGAUAACUCUUUAGAGUUGUUUUGACAACCUACUUAGUUAGAAUAACAAUGAAUUUGAUGAUUAGUAAAGUCACGGUGUUGUCGAGGACUUGCAUCUAGAUAUUUAUUUUUUAGAAAAAUCUAUUUUAUUGGGUAUUUUAAAUUUUUUGUUUAUUUCAUCUUAUUUUAUUCUCUGGAUCACAUACUCUAUUUUUGGUAGUAUUAAUUUUUUAUACAAGGUAAAAUGUGAGAGGAACCAUGGCUGAAAUUGUUCACUGGGAAGAUAACAACAACAACAAACAUAGGAGGCCAUUUGGGGUUGCUGGACAUAAUCGUCUAAGACAAUUCCAAAACAUUGAUAUAGGACCCCAAAAUUCUAGAAAACCAAAGAUUAAGAUAGGAAUUUUUCAACUCAUCUAUGCGAACACAUUCACAUGAUUUGAAUGAAGAUCCACAUGCUCAUCUGGUCAAUUUCUAUGACUUGUGUGGAACUAUGGGAGCUUCAGAAGAUGAGGAGGAAGCUAUAUUUAUGAUGUUGUUCAUGCUCUCUUUGAUCGGCAAAGUGAAAGAAUGGUUACUAAAUCAACCUGCUAAAAGAACUGUAAACUAGAAUCAACUAGAAGGGAAAUUUCUAAUUAGAUUUUUAUGUCAUUCCAAAUAAAUGGAGGUCAAAAUAGAAAUCUCGGUAUUCACUCAAGGGGAAAAUGAAUCAUUGUAUGAUGUAUGGGAAAUGUAUGAAUCAUUACUAAGAAAGUGUCUCAAUCAUGUCUUUGACAAGCUAAUAGAAAUUCAUAUUUUCCGCAAUGGAAUAUAACAACAACACAAAUUGAUCAUGGAUGCUACAACACACAGUUCAUUGGUGGGGAAAAGUUAUGAAGAAUCCAUAAUGACCAUUGAAGCAAUGACCAUUAUGAUAAAAAAUGUCGACAUGGGAGAGGAAAUCCACCAAAAUGAGGAGUAUUGGAAUUGGGCACUAAAAGUCCAUUGCUGACUCAGAAUAAAAUAUUAACUCAACAAAUAGAAGAGCUAACUAAGCAUAUUGAGAACCUUCUAAAACAAAUAAGAGAGAUGCAAGAAUCUACAACUAACCAACAACUUCUGAGAUAUGAAGUUUGCUAUCAAGGCCACCCAACCAACUAUUGUGCCUCCAAUCUCAUACGAGGAGGAAGUGCAAUACAUGGAAAGUCAGUACAGUCAUAACCAAUAGUAUCAAAACAAUUAUCUUAGGGAAGACAACCAAAAAUACACAAAACCAUGGGGCAUGAUACAAGACCUUCAAAUAGACAAAUGUCAUACUGAGGUAACAACCUCCACAACAUGAUAAAUAUUCCAAGAUAGAAUAUAAUCUAAACUAAUUCAUGCACAUAACUAGGGCAAAUCAGAAAAAUACAAAUGCAUCUAUAAAAAUCUUGGAGGUUUAGGUUGGACAACUAGCCAAGUUAUUGACAAAAUGUCAACGAGGCACAUCCAAAGCUAGCAUUGAACCAAAUCCAAAGGAAAAGUGCAACACCAUCACAACAAGAGGUGGCAAGAUGGUUGGCUAUGAUGUUGAUGACCAUAUUGUUGGGUCUCAUAGGGUUGUAUACUUCACCUACGGGGGAUGAAUAGGUGAUAUAGUAUACAAUUACCGUUGCUCGAAUAACAAUUUUUUUACAAUUUUUAUCGCUACUUAGAAGAUUAACUAAUGACUUAAAUGAGUAAUUACUUCUGCAUAUAAUCGAUUAUCUGAAGAACCUAAUUGAUUAUUCAGUUCUUGUUCUUUGAAAAACAAUUUACUUUGAUCUCUAAGAUUACCAAGAUUCAAUUAAACUUAUAUGCACUCUUACAUAUGAUUAAGCUAGUAAAUGCACAUAACAAAAUAUGAAAAUAACUCAGAAAAUAUGCAUAUGAAGUUAUGUACAUCAAGUAAUAUGUAAAUGUAAAAAGUUAAGGGUUUAUAAGAAUGAGACACAAAUUCUAUCCUGGUUCGUUUGCUUGGCCAUGUGAAAACUACAUCCAGGUCACCCUUAUGAUUUUGAGAGAUUGUUCUUUACUAUGUAAUUGAAACCAAUGUACUUAUAAACACACUUCAAGUAGGAGUGUAAGUGGUUCCAGUUUAAACCACGAAACGAAGGAACCGAACUGAACUACAAAAUACAGUUUAGUUCGGUUUCGCAGUUCGGUUCGGUUCAGAUUAUUUAUUUGGAACCAUUUAAGUUUGGUUCGAUUCACGGUUUUGGAAAUUUUGGAACCGUUUGAACAUAAUCGAACCACAUAUUAAUUUUUUUAAUAUUUGGAUGGUUAUGAUUUAAAGUUAGGAGAUAAAAUAAGAUUAAGAAUUUUGGAUUAGUAAUACAUAUAAUAGGCUAUAAAUAAGAGGCAAAUAGAAAAGAUAAAUUUGUAAACAAACCUAAAAACGUAUUAUCUCUACUAUCCAUUGAGAAGAUAGAAAAAAACUAAAAAACUAGUGUACAUUGUUUCACUAUCCAGGGAUGAAAUUAAUUAAAUAAAGAAAUUAAAGAACUAAAAGAAAAUAGAGAAAGAAAUUGAGGAUAUUACUGAUCAUGUGGAUUAGUAUGUGUUACUGUUGGACUAAAGAAUUGAUACCAAGUUUGUCGUUCUUAAAUUUUGUUCCAUAUUGUCGAAGAUUUUUUGGACUAAUAUUUUAAGUUUGUAGUGUGCUGAGUUGUUGAAUUAUUAUUGUUUUACUAGAAAGAGUAUUGAAUUAUUAUUUAAUACUUUAUUAUUGAUGUGUUUAGUAUUCAUUUAGUUGACUCUAUACUUUACAAAUAUUGUUCAAUUAUUUCUUAAAGGAUAUUUUAAAUAAGUUGAAAAACUACAAAACCGAACCGAACUUAACCAUUAAUGAACUGUUUGGUUGAGUUCGUUUCUUAAAUAAAAUUUGUGGUUCAUCGAGUAGAACCGAACCAUAUCUUUGUAUUCGGUUCGGUCACUAAGUUGUAUAAAAAACCGAACCAAAUUUUUAUACCCCUACCUACAAGCGCUCAUUUCUUGCACUCUAAGCCAAGCAAUGUGACUUAACAUUCUCCUGCCUAUUUCAUAUACCUCACAUACUCACAAUUUAUCCUAUCUCAUUCUUUCUUCUCUUCAAGACCUAUGUAUAAGCGGUGAAGAUAACUACCUAACUGCAGCUAGGAUUUUCUCAAACUUUUCCUCAAUCAAUGGUGAUACUAAACACACCAAGAUUAUAUUUUUAUGCCAAUGUGUAUACUUAACAAGUUGUUGCACCUAAGUGUGCUGCAUAUACACUAUUCCAGAAUCUAAGAAUCCUUCUACAAUUCUCACAAACUCAAAAUAUAGAAAUGUGAAGUGCAAGGUUUCUUUGCAAGAUUUGACAAUUAUGCUUCUUUGAAAUUUUUUCUAAAGAGUCAUAAAGAUUAUCCAUUUUCUCUCUUUUUCAACAACACUUUGAAAAUCUCUCUUUUGAUAUGAAUGUGUAUGUGAAAUGUGAUUUUCGGAAAUAUGUGUAAUCAAAAUGUUGUGCAUUAUUGUUUGUUCUGAGCAAAAUGGAAAAAAACUUGGGCUAAUAUACAAUUCUGUUUUCUGGUGCAGGUAAUCGAUUAUACUCCAUUUAAUCGAUUAUUGAUUCUUUAAAAUUCAAGAAACUAGAAACUGUAACUAACAUUAAUCGAUUAAAUCCACACUUAAUCGAUUAAUGGGUUCCCAAUUUUUCAUUGCUUAAUCGAUUAACGGGUUUUCGAAAACAGAUAUUUCAAUGUGAUAAAAACCUCCUACAUGAUUUGUAGAAAUAUGAUGCAUGACUAUGAAUGAUGUAUGAUUUGAAAACUGUUUUAAAUGCAUCAAAAUCUUAUGAUCAUGUAUUUAUGCAUGUGUAUGAAAAUCAUAUAUGUAUGUGUGUAAGUCUCAUUUUAGUUAUGAUCGAUUUUAUGUUCUGAGACUUCCAUUAAGGUUCAUCCUAACCUAGACUCUUUCUAAACAAACAUCUUAAGACCUAAUAAAGAUAUAAAAACACUAAGCCUUUAGAUCUUCUUGAAUGUUUGAGCUUAAGUGAACUUGAAUUUUGACUUUUGACUUUGUUGUUUGUUGAUUUGUUCACGCCUUCAAACUUUUCCUUGAUAUACAACAUUUGUCAUUGACUUUGUUGUUACUCUUUUUUCUUCAUCAAUCUUUGUUGUUGAUCUUUGUCUUUAUCAAACUCUAUCUUCAUCAACCUUUGCCUUUAUCAAAAUCUAUAUGAUGCAUGCUUACAUAUAAAAUUUGCUCAUUUUUGCAUGUUUGCAUUUACACAUAUAGCCCAUGAGCAAGGAAUUAUUGAAAAAUAAAAAGCUAGUGAGGAAAGAGAGGAAAUGAUAGGUGAGAAGAAAUCAUUGAGUGAUAAGAAUAAAAAGAGAAAAAAGAAAUAAUAGAAGUUAAUGAAAAAAAUAUAAAAAAAUAAAGAAAGUGUGAAUCAUAAUUCAUGGCCAAAUAAUAGAAAAUAAAAUGAGAAUAGAGUCCCUAUUGACUCAUGUUCGAAAAAGUGGGAUACAAUGUUAAAAAUGGUAUAACCAGUCAAAUAUUGUGUUCAUCUGUCUUAUCCAACUGUAUAAUCUUUGAGGUCACAUGAUCUGUUAAGCUAAUGACAUUAAAAAAAUACUUGUUGGGAGACAUUCCAGUUUUACUAAUACUUUCUUAUUUAUUUCAUUUUAGCAACUACUUUCAAUAUUUUUCUGUAGUUGUUUUGUUUGUUUUUCAUAUUGGAAAAUGUCAUAUGAUUGAAGAAUGAGAGUUACCAAAUACACUUAUGCUCAUAUUGCUUGGCAUGGGGACAAUCCAACUUACCCGGUGGGGAUGAACUUUAGUGGCUGUGGUGCACAACAUGAGGAUAGAGAGAGGUUGAUACACAAUACCUAACUAGAAUACUUGGAGAUGACCUCGUAGGCAGGGACAACUACUUUUGUCUCGAUCAGUGUGAAUAAUUUACAUUUCUAUCAUAUUUUUUUUUGUUUUUUAUUUUCUAUUUUUACUUAUCUUUAAUAAAUUGUAGUAUUAAUGCAUGCAUUAUGUUAGACUACUCAUUUAUGUGCUAUGAAAAUUGUUUGAGUCAACCAACAUGUUAACUUUGUUCUUGUUCUAUCACUUUGCAUAACUAAACAUGAAAGAAAAUAGGACAAUAAGUUGUGUCGUUGUCUAUGAUUAAACUUGCUAGUUUGUGCAACCAUUUGUUAUGUGUGACUGUUGUGUGAUUAAUGUACUGCAUGAGUGAAGACUCAUGAAAUUAUGUUAGCUCGCACUUUGUUAGAACUUUUGAGUUUAUUUGUGUCUCUAAUUGUCUUGGUAAAUGUGAUGCAUUGAAAUAAUCAAUCUAGUUUAUAUCAUGACAACCCGAUUAGGCCAAAUUUAAUAAUAUCCCUUCAUGAUUUAUCCUUUUCUCUCCUAUUGAGAAUUAUCAUUCCUAUUAGGUUAAGAGAGCAUUUAUUGUGUAACAUCCAAGUUGGAGCGGGUGAAUCAAAUGUUGAAUAGUAAUCAUAAUGAGGUACUAAAUAUCCAUUCAUUCUUAUAAAAAAAAUCAAAACUUCUAAAAAAUGGGAGAGAUAAAAAGAAUAACAGAUAGAAAAAGGUAAUAAAAUAAUUGUACAAAAUUUAGAUAAUCGUAAAAUGAGUUUGAAAUGUUGAGAGUGAAAAGAUACAUCAUAACCUCUCAACUCCAUAGGAACUUCAAUAUUUUAAAAUAAUGAUCUUUGUAGCCCAACCUCAUUACAGCCUAAAGAAAGACAUUAUUGAUCCACGCUAAGAAUUUAUCAUUGAUAUGGUAGGAGACGGAUACCAAAUUUGAGAGAAACAAUUUCCAUUUUGAUACACAUGAGAGAAACACUUUCCAAGUCUAGUCGUUUUAUUCUUAGUACCUACAGACUAUAAAAAGUCCUCAUCCUCAUUUUAAGGGAUGUCAGGUACUAUCUCUACAACUAAUAAAAUAAUAUAAAAAAUAAAAAUCAUGUAGAAUGCAACAUAUCCAAGGUUUUAAAUUUAGCCCUACAACCACAAUUGUCAUUGCAACAUUGAGGUUUUGUAGGUCUUGAGAGUUUUUAUGAUCACAUUGGUCAUAUAUUUCCGUAAUGAUCCACAAUAUUAAAGUAUUGGAUAUUUUCACAAUUGUUACUGCGACCAUGAGUUAAAACAUUGAAUUGAUUGCAAAUAAAACAUCUAGAUUGAUUUUGCAGCUGUACAAGUAGGAGUUUUCCCUGAAAUUUUAGGGUUGACAUUAGCGCAUAUAGCAAUUGCUAGAGCUCUGUUGUAUGUGAGGUUAAUUUCACUGAGCUCCACGCCUUGAUAUGGUACACUUCUACUACAUAGAAGUAUCACCCCUUCCUUAGUUGUUGAAGUCACCUUGAUGUUUUUAAAGGAGACCUUGGUUAUCUUAACUUUGUGAGUCAUUUGGAAGCUUUGGGAUUUGUUGUUUCCCUUGUUACCACCGAGUGGUUCUGUUGGAAUUUGUCGAAAGAAUGGUGUUUUGAAGUUAAAAGAAAAAACUCAUUAGUCCCACUUUGCUUUGAGGAGGGAAGUUGAAGGACUUUAUAAGCCUUAAGUUGCGGCCCAACAUUUUUUUUAAUAAAGUAUUUAUUUAUAAAUUAAUUUAUUUCAUUUUUUGGGCAUUUUGGGCUUGGAUCGUGUGUUGACCAAGUCAACACACACAUGCAAUAAGGAAAGAGUCGUUGGAGGAGAUCUCGGCCAUUAUAAUAGAGUCGUUGGUAAUAGAGUCGUUGGUGAAAGUGUCAUUGGAGGCCUCAGGCUAUAAAUAGAGGCCUCCUUCCCUGAUUAUAAUUCGCAACAAGUUCAAGGAGUUUACCUCUCAACUUCUCUUUCUCUCCCUCCCCCUUAUAUUCCGCUGACACAUUUCUAAUAACCUUCUCCCUCUUUCUUUCCAUGGCGUUUGUAGAUAAUAUUAUUGGACCGGACAGCUAUGAUCUAAACAAGCCAUUUCAGUUUGACGAGACAUGUUUCAAAUGUUGGCAAUAUAAGAUGCAAUUUUUCCUUACUAUGAGAAAGGUUGCCCACAUUUUGAAAACCGACAUUCCAGUGGUGUCGAAUGAGGCUGAUAAGUACGAGGGCAAAACAUUAUGACACUACAUUAAUCAUAAAUUUAUUUAUGUUUGAUGAUUACUAUAUCAAAAUGCUUACGACCAUGUACCCAAAUAAAUAUGCUUAUGACCAGUUUACGUACAAUGCUUGAUUUGAUGACUAGUACUGUAAUAUACACUUUGUGGAAGAGAACAAGAAGGUUGUAUGACAAUAGUAAUUAGCAUAAAUUUUAUUUAAUUUGAAAGACAUUCUCAAAAUAUUUGGAACAUAGAAGCCUAUAUCUAUAAUAUAACUAACUAUGAUAAUAUAACAACCAUUUGUAGUCGUUUUAUUCUCAGGUCCCUACGGACUACAUAAAGCCCUCAUCCUCAUUUUAAGGGAUGUCACUCUCUGUAAAUAAUAAAAUAAUAUAAACAAAAGAAUAUUUAAAUAUAAUGCCUCAUAUCCAAGGUUUUAUAUUUAGGUUUGCAACCACAAAAGUCACCACAACAUGAUUUUGUAGGUCUUAGGAGUCUUUGUGAUCACAUUGGUCAUAUUUUCCCAUUG
rnacentral:lncRNA from 1 species